GUAUAUAGUUAUACAUUCUGUGUAUCGACUAAAUAUACCCAUUCUGAGUACCUUGCCUUUUGCUUCCAUGGAGCCUGACACAUGUCACUCUGGGGAUUUACAUCCCGAGGGAGCCUCCGUGGAAGGUAAUCUAUUAACUCUUGAAUCCAAUGUCAUCUGUCUGAUAAUGUUUAUAACAAAUGUUAAAACUUUCAACAACGGAUCUCUUGGUUCUCGCAUCGAUGAAGAACGCAGCGAAAUGCGAUAAGUAGUGUGAAUUGCAGAAUUCAGUGAAUCAUCGAAUCUUUGAACGCACAUUGCGCCUCCUGGUAUUCCGGGAGGCAUGCCUGUUCGAGCGUCAUUAAAUACCACUCAAGCUCUUCUGCUUGGUCAUGGAAGAAGAGAAUGCUUGCAUCCUCUCUUCUGAAAUCGAACGGCGGACUGCCUCAUGUGCCUCGCGUAGUAAGUUCAUCUUUUCGCUUGGAGUGUGAGAUAGUCUCGCCAUCAACCCCCAUACUUCUAAGGUUGACCUCGGAUCACGUAGGGAUACCCGCUGAACUUAAGCAUAUCAAUAAGCGGAGGA
rnacentral:rRNA from 1 species